rnacentral:lncRNA from 1 species
AGCAACUAGCAGAGAACCUCCCUGGUAAACCCCUUUCUAUCUCGCCUCUCUCUCUCUCUCUAUCUCUUUCUCUCUCUAUAUAUAUCUUUUUGAGCCCUAAUGUUCGUCCCUCUAAGCCCCUCUGCUUUUUCUCCUAUUCUAUUUCCACACCAUUUAAUCCUAACACAUAACACAUCAACUACGAUAUUUAAAGUCUUUUGCAACCUUGCCUAUCCUUUCUAUGAUCACACUCAAUUCCUCUUCACUCAAGAUUUAAAGUCUUUUGCGACCUUGUAAUGUAUAUUUUUCUUAAAUCUCAUCUUUUUUCUCUCUUUUUUUGAUAUCUUAUUCGUUAUCUUGCAUACUUUCUUUGCAUUCUAGUAAUAUUUCUGUUUUUUUUGUUCUUCUUCAUUGUGUAAGGUUGAUGAGUUGUUUUUGUUUCUUUUCAUAGUUCAAAUCAUAGCUAUUUACAUAGUUAGCCAUUAUACAAGUGGGUUGUGUCUUCUUGCUUAUGUUGGUUAUCAAACGUGAUCAGAUGUGGCUUGUGAAACUUUCCGCAAUUUGGUUUGAUUUAACUCAGUAUAUUUUCCCAAUUUGUUACAGUUGUGGACGGGUCACAUUGCCUUUGUGAAAGGAGUUAUCUUCAGAAAUCUACAUAGUGGUGUUUGUUGUCUAUCUCUGUAGCCAUCGAAGAACUGUCAUCUAUCUCUGUAGCCAUCGAAGAACUGCAGUAGUCUGCACUCUGGGGCCCUUAGCCUCUUUGAACUGAAUUCUAAUUCCAUCAUAUAUCUAACAACAAGAUUUCCAUUUGAACUUUAACAUGUUUUAUCUUUGUCAAUCUCUUUUUGUAAUAUAUGGUUUCAAGCCAAGAGCAUAUAGAGGUUGUGAGAUUAGGUGAGUCAGGUUGAAUUAGGAUAUUGUUUUCUUGUCCUAGUUUAGCUACAUUUUUCACCAAAGUUCCCUUUAGUGUGAAGUGUAAUUUGUAAAUUUUUACCAAAGUUCCCUUUCAGGCCCAAAACCCGCCGGUUAGGGGUCGAAUCGGCUUUGUUUUUGUCAAACCAGCCGAUUUUGCUGCUAACCGGACCGGUCAGCAGAUAUAACGGGUUUUAUGAACAAACAAUGGUACAAUUAAAAUAACAGUUGUUCGACCCCUAAGCGGCGUACCAGCUGUGACUUGACAUGGCGGAUUUUCACACCUUUGAAAUUUCCUCCAUUUCAUCAAUAGCAAAUGGCUUUUGCUGAAAUUCUACCAUAUACCUCUUUCAAUUUGUUCAAAAACCAAAAUAUUUAGGGUUAAUUUUGGGCUGGAAAGAUGCUACUCGAAGACCUUGUGAUCGAUCCAAAAAUAAGAGAUUUUGGAUCGAUUUUUUGGUCCUUUUUUAUCAAAUUGAUUUGUUUAUUUUGAUCACCAAAGCUUCAUUUGUCACAUAAAAUAGGUAUGCUUAUUUAUUAUUGAGUAAAUUUUUUUAUGUGAAUUUUUUUCUUGCUUGAUCUCACAUAUAUAAAUUUUCCAAGAUUUCUUCAAUUGAAUAAAAAAUACCAAAUAUUUUUUUUAUGAUUUUUUGUGCAUUUGAAAGGAUGAUCGAAGCCUUUAUAGGGUUUGUGUCUUGAUUCGUUCUAUUAUCCGAACAUUGAGGGUCGUUUUUAUUUGAAAUGUUGCUCAAUUUUAUAAGUUUCUUAGAAAAUAUUUUUUCAAAAAAAAAUUAAUUUGCUUAAUAAAAUUAGGAAAAAGUUUAUAUAAGGUUGCAGCCUUAAAAUGUAGAACUAAGGAGGCACCUCAAAAAUCCAUCGAUAAAGAUUGUUUUAAUAUUGAAAAACACUUUAAUUGAUCAUCUCGGCAUGAAGAUGCAUGACUAUGAUUUUGCCACAUGCGUUCUCCUUAAAAGUUUCGUCUGUUACCGAGUAAUAGAACCCAAGUUUUGUUAUAAAUCAUUCUAAUUUUUAUAUAUACAAUGCUGCAUGCUUUUUAACUUUUUAGUUAUUGUAAUUUUAUAUUUAUUCUCAUUCAAGUUUAAAAAAUGGAAUUGUAUCUUAAAAGGCUGUACUUUUGAUACCAGGAAGUCACAUUCAUUUGUAUAUGGGAAAUUAGCUGCUAGAGGUGUGUUGCAAAGUUCAAUAAAAGAUUUUUUUAGCCUUUGAGCUCUCAAAAGCGCAUCCUAAUUGUGAAUUCAAAUCCAAUUACUAAAUAAUUGUGAUUCAUAUUUGCGCAUCCUAAUUAUGUCAUAUUUGAAGUUUAAAAUUUUAUAAUUAGAUUUGAAAAUAGAUUUUGAGAUAAUCUUAAGAACAUUUUACAUCAAAAUUACAUGUUAUGGAAAAUUUUGAAGGUGCACCUUAAAUAGAUUGUUUAUGGUUGCAACCUUUGGAAACCACACCCAUAAAAUUAUUGUUUUUUAUGAAUAUGGAAAGUGUUUUUCUAUUUUUCUUAGUAAAAUAACAUUUUUUGAUAAAAUUAUUUGUUUGGAUAAAAAUAUAUUGUUUUCAUUAAUAUGACAAAACCUAUAUGUAUUGACCUCUCUCUCUAGUGACAACUUGUCUUUUACAGAUAAAUUUUUAGAUGGACAAGUGAAAGUUAGUGGUUCAAUUUCUUUUCCAUUAUUUCUAAUUGUGAUUAGUAGUAUCUUGAAGUGUUGUAAAACUUGAAACUGGAGUAUGUAAAAAUAUUUGUGUGCUUAUAUUUUUUAGUAAAAAGCAUAGACUAAUGUAAUGUUUCUGCAAUACCUGAAUAUCUAGAGUGUGUAUUUACAUUGGGGUAAUAUAUUUGUGGUUUGACAACAAAUUCUCCACCUGUAUCAUAGCUAACUUGGUAUGUGUCUUCUUUUCAAUUGGUGGAUCAAUUUCUUUUCCACUGUUUGUGGAUCAAUUUCUUUUCUAUUGUUUCUAAUUGUGAUUAGCAGUAUCAUGUAGUGUUGUAAAACUUGAAACUGGAAUCCGUAAACAUAUAUGUGUGCUUAUAUUUUUUAGUAAUAACCAUAGACUAAUGUAAUGUUUCUGCAACACCUGAAUAUCUUGAGUGCAUAUUUACACUGGGAUAAUACAUUUGUGGUAAGUUGUUGUUAACUUAUUAACAGGCUUCAUUCUCGGUAAUACAUUUCAUAGUUCAAAUCUUAAUUUGGUAUGUGUCUUCUUACUUGAAGGAUAUGACUGCUCAAAGGGUGACCAUAUGGGAUGUUAAGAAGCAUGAGAUUUUGCUUCAAGAUGCUCAGACUCUCCAGGCAUUGCCUCCUGGAAUGGUAAAGAAGAACUUAUCUGAAUGGGAAUUCUAAGUUAAUUGAGGCCAUCUUUCUAUGAAGAUGUCAUCCCAAGCCUCUACCCCAUAACAUCUUCCCCGAGGUCUCAUUUUGGCCCCCUCCCCUGGCAUCCCUCCCAUUUUGAUGACUAAAUCCUCCUCUGAGGAAGAAGACCUAUCUCCAAGGUCUAGUAACUAGUCCCAAAAGUCGUAUAGAAGGAUGGAUGUCACUAGGAAUAAGGAUGAAAUGCUUGAAGCCACCAUGAAAGUGGAAUAUACGGGGGGAGGUUGUUGUGGUGGACGAAGCUAUUGUAGUAAAAAACUUGAACUAGAACCAGGGGCCCAGAAGGAGGGUUCGAAGGAGAGAUAACCAAAAAUUGCUUGCGGAAUUUCUGUAUGACCCAUUGUCUGCUGGCCCCUCCACAAGGGGUGGGACAGAAUUCCACACAUACUAAAGAUCGCUCCUAGAAUCAGAGGCCUUUGGAACACUAGGAAGAAGUGUCCUUUGAAACAUCAAUUGGGGGCUUCCAAACCCCAUAUCUUGCUUCUUCUAGAAUCCAAGUUGCCUUCCCCUAUUGUGAUGGAUGUGUGGAGUUGUUCUUGUUCCUUCUUUUAGUGCCCGGUGGUUUGCGGUUGCCUUUCAAUCCCUCUAUACUUUUAUUUGACAUUUUUAUUUCGUGGCAUGCAUUGAUUGAACUUAAUAUUUUGGGGACCAUUUUUACUUGGUCCAAAAAUUAUGUAUUGAACUUUUGAUACAUAUAUGUUCAAUUUGAAUGUGUAGUAUCAAACUUUUUUUUUUCUUCUUAUAUAUGUGUGUGAUCAUAUUUUGAAAAAUAUAAUUUCUUUCCUCACAUUACUUACUUUACUUGUUGGAGUUUGGAUUUUCACCUUAUUUCAAUUCUCUCUCUCUCUCUCUCUNNNNNNNNNNNCUCUCUCUCUCUCUCUCUCGUCGUCUCGUACUCGACGUACGACGUAGUACGCGUACGUCGUAGUACGUACGUAAGCGUACGACGACGNNNNNNNNNNNNNNNNNNNNNNNNNNNNNNNNNNNNNNNNNNNNNNNNNNNAUUAUUAAUUAAUUAAUUUACUUUACUUCUUACUACUUACUUUACUUUACUUUACGUUGUUAGUUAGUUAGUUACUUACUUACUUACUUACUACUCUCUCUCUCUCUCUCUCUCUCUCUCUCUCUCUCUCUCUCUCUCUCUCUCGCUCUACCUUGGAUAUUAUAUUUGUUGAGGAAGGAAUAAGGUGAUCUAUUGUUUGAUACUGUAAUGACCGAGACUUUUCCGACUUUAGGGAGUGCGCGGCGAAAAGAGAGAGAAGAAAAGUAGCACCGUCAUGAGCGGCAGUGAGCACGCGAUAGUAAGAGACAGAAGAGAGAGCAAGCCGUCAUGCACGUCAGAGAGCAUGCCGUCGUGCGUGACGAGAAAAGAAAGCCGUUGUGGGCAUCAGAGAGCAUGCCACUGUGUGCGACAAGGAAAGAGUGCCGCCAUGCAUGUUAGAGAGCAUGCCGCCAUGCGCGACGAGGAAAGAGUGCUACCGGGCGCAUCAAAGAGCAUGUCGUCGUGCGUGACGAGGAAAGAGCGCCGUCAUGCAUGUCAGAGACCACGCCGUCGUGCGCGAUGAGGAAAGAGUGCCGCCAUGCGUGUCAGAGAGGAUGUCGUCAUGCGCGACGAGGAAAGAAGAUGUCGCCGUGCGCAAUGAGGAAAGAGUGCCGCUGUGUGCGUCAGAGAGUAAGCUGUCAUGCGUGAUGAGGAGAGAGAGUUCCACCGUGCGUGACGAUGAGAGAGAACAGCCGUCAUGCAUACAAUGGAUCAAUAGUCGUGCAAGUUCUGCCGUGAGCACCAUGUGGCACAUGUGAGCCACUUGUAUGCCCUUGUCAGCCACUUGGACACUACAUGGAUGC